AGCUCCAAUAGCGUAUAUUAAAGUUGUUGCGGUUAAAAAGCUCGUAGUUGGAUUUCUGUCUGGGAUGGUCGGUCCGCACUUUGUGCGUGUAUCUGAUGCGUCCUCGGCAUCCUUCUGAAGGACAUUGUACUUAAUUGAAUGAUGGAUUUCAGAACUUUUACUUUGAGGAAAUUAGAGUGUUCACAGCAAGCAAGCGCUUUGAAUACAUUAGCAUGGAAUAAUAAUAUAGGACUUCAGUACUAUUUUGUUGGUUUCUAGAGCUGAGGUAAUGAUUAAUAGGGACAGUUGGGGGCAUUCGUAUUAACGCGUCAGAGGUGGAAUUCUUGGAUUGCGUUACGACGAACUACUGCGAAAGCAUUUGCCAAGGAUGUUUUCA
rnacentral:rRNA from 1 species